CAGGGAAUAGUUAAAGAAGAAUAUCAGCUUUGGGAGUUGAAGGUGGAAUAGCGAAAUUUCUUCCCUGA
rnacentral:tRNA from 1 species